GUGAAUAUGAAGGGGAAAUUAAUUUUAACAAUGUGUUUUAUUAACCCAAUAUUUGUUACCAUGUCAACAAUAUAAAAUUAUUGUUAAAAUAGUUUACAUUCUUUUCUUUUGCUUUAAGACUUUGAAAUCCAAUGUGUAUUUCUCACUCCAGUGGCCACAUUUCAAGUGCUCAAGGCUCACUUGCAGCUCACUGCAGGUGAGGACACAGUGUCUGUCCCCUUGGAGGACGCAGCAAUAAGGCAUCAUCUUGGAAGCAGAGAAUAGCCCUCACCAGACACUGAACUUUCCUGUGCCUUGAUCUUAACUUCCCUGCAGCCAGGACUGUAAGAAAUAAAUGUCUAUUGUUUAUAAAUUA